CCCUCCUCCUCAGCAGCCCCGGGCCUGGAUGGCCGGCGGCUCCCAACUGUGCUGACUUCUUCCACUUGGUCAACUCUGAGCUGAGGAACUUCUGCUCCCAUGGAGUGGCCCUGACCUACGACCUCACCGUCCACUUCUUCCGGGGCCUCCUCCAUGCCUGCGCCCAGAGCGGAGACCCUGCCCUGACCGCCGACCUGACCCUGAGGGCA